GGAAUCAAAUUUCGCUGACAUUCUGCAAGAAUUUGUUGAUAUCACCCGUCCACUACCAAUGGGUACAACGACGAAUUCCAAUGUAGUUCAUCGAAUUAUAACGCAAGGUCAGCCUGUCUUUUCGCGCCCACGACGACUUUCGCCCGAAAAAUUAGCAGCUGCCCGCGCUGAAUUCGACUCACUUUUGAAAUUAGGAAUCUGCCGGCCAUCAAGCAGCAGUUGGGCGAGUCCGCUACAUAUGGUGCGCAAAGCUGACGGAUCGUGGAGACCCUGCGGGGAUUAUCGCUCGCUCAAUGCGCAAACCGUGCCGGAUCGUUACCCACUCCCGUUUCUGCAGGAUUUCGCAAAUGUCUUGGCAGGUAACACAAUUUUUUCGAAAAUUGAUUUGCAGAAGGCGUUCCAUCAAGUCCCUGUACAUCCCGACGACGUCUGUAAAACGGCCAUCACUACGCCCUUCGGGCUAUACGAAUUCACAAAGAUGACUUUCGGUCUACGAAAUGCAGCCCAGACGUUUCAACGCAUAAUAAACGAAGUUUUUCGUGGUCUUGAUUUUGUUUUUACGUACCUCGACGACGUAUGUGUUGCAUCGAAAUCAUUCGAAGAGCAUCGAAAACCUCUUCAGCAGGUAUUUAAACGAUUGCGAGAUCAUAAUUUAACUAUCAACGCAGCGAAAUCCGAGCUUGGGGUUACGAAACUUGAGUUUUUGGGACACUCUAUUACCAAGGAUGGCAUUCGACCCCUAGAAAGUCGCGUAGAAGCCCUUCGUAACUUUAAACGACCCACCGUCGCAAAGGAGUUGAAGCGGUUUCUAGCAAUGCUAAACUUCUAUCGAAGGUUCCUGCCGCAUGCAAUGGAAACUCAAAGGUUUCUCUUCGACAUGAUAGGCGCAAACAAGCGCAACGAUUCUACUCCUCUAUCCUGGUCCGACGAAACUUCAAGUUAUUUUGAAGCCUGCAAGGAACAGCUGGCGAAGUGUGCAAUGCUGGCACACCCCGUAUCCAAUGCGGAAUUAUCUUUAUGGGUCGACGCCUCAAAUUUCGCCGCGGGUGCCGUGCUGAAUCAAGUGGUGGAUGGUGAUAUUCAGCCGCUGGGUUUUUUCUCGAGGAGAUUCACGAAGGCUGAGACGCGAUACAGCACAUACGACCGUGAGCUGACAGCUUUGUACAUGUCACUACGCCAUUUUCGCUACAUGGUAGAAGGCAGAAUGUGCCACAUCUACACCGACCACAAGCCGUUGGUGUACGCAUUUCAUCAGCGUCUGGAUAAGGCAUCGGACCGGCAAGUAAGACAGCUCGACUUCAUUUCACAAAUAACGACAGAUAUUCGUCACGUUGAGGGUGAAAAUAACGCCGCCGCUGAUUUGAUGUCGCGAAUCAAUUCGAUCGACUACUCACCAAUUGACUAUAACCGUCUAGCUGAAGACCAGAUUACGGAUGAUGAGCUUCUGUCCCUGCUGUCAGGUAAUAAGACUCAUUCUCUUAAACUAACGAAAUUUGCUGUCCCUUCUAGUUUGCGGAAAGUAUACUGCGAUUCGUCCACCAACAAAAUACGUCCAUUCAUCACAAGCAAGUUCAGAUCAAACGUUUUACAUGCUAUACACGAUUUGGCACAUCCAGGCAUAAGAGCUACUGCACGUCUUAUGUCUGAACGUUUCGUGUGGCCUUCCAUCCAGCGCGACAGCAGACAAUUUGCCAGAAAUUGCAUUCAGUGUCAACGAUCGAAGGUUAUUCGUCACAACAGAGCAGCACUACAACGCAUUACAACACCAACACAACGUUUUUCACAUUUGCACAUCGAUAUUGUUGGACCCUUUCCUCUAUCCAAUGGCAAUCGUUAUUGCCUUACGAUAAUCGACAGAUUCACGAGGUGGCCAGAAGCCAUUCCCAUGCCUGACAUCUCAGCAUCGACGGUGACAAAAGCCUUGCUAAACGUAUGGAUCUCGCGCUUUGGUAUUCCUGUGAAUAUAACAUCUGACUUGGGUAGACAGUUUGAAAGCGCUCUUUUUCAAGAACUUCUAAAACGCCUGGGAGUUAACCACCUGCGAACAACGCCGUACCAUCCUCAAGCAAACGGUAUGGUUGAGAGAUGGCACCGUACUCUGAAAUCAGCGAUUUUAUGCCAUAAUCAUGAGAGAUGGACGGCGUACCUGCCCUUAAUCUUACUAGGACUACGAUCAGUUUUCAAGGAUGACAUAGAGGCUACCCCUGCCGAGCUUGUUUACGGAACGACACUUCGGCUACCUUCGGAAUUUUGGGUAGACAGCAAACCUUCGAAUAACGAACACGAGAUGCUGUCUGAGCUUCGCCUAGUCAUGCAGAAUUUGAAACCUGUUGACUCCGCAUGGCACUCCACACCCAAAGUCUUCAUCCAUCCAUCACUGAAGUCCUGCGAGCAAGUCUUUAUCAGAGAUGAUUCAAUUCGACCAUCACUUUCAUCGCCGUACAAGGGCCCCUAUAAAGUCCUACGUCGAACGCCGAAAUAUUAUACAAUUCAAAUAGGAAGCAAACACGUCAAAACUACCAUCGAUCGUCUUAAGCCUGCUUUUGUUGCUGCGAUGCUUCUAAGGGGGGAGUAAUGUGGCGAACCCACAAAUUAUUAAUUUUGUUAUGGCAACGCCGUACUACUGGCAUGAGCUAUGGCAACGCCGUGCUACUGGCUGAAACCGCCAUUUUGACUUACUUCUUUUUCAAUGUACUUUUUCUUAUUGGAUCGAGCGCGUGUUAAUAAAACGUAAAUUUAAUAUUCUUAAAAUAAAACACAGCAAAAUCUAAAUAUAUAUUCUUUUUUAUAUAUUAAAUAUCUAUAUAUAAAAAAGAAUAAUUAAAACAUUUUGCGUAAAACUUUUUUCUGCGUAGGCGGCCUACGGCCGCACUUCAAAAAAAUAACCCUUAAUAGUGCAACACCGUCUCCGCUGCACAUAGGAGUUUUACGUGAAGCGGAACUGUAUUUCGAAAAUCAUAUCGAUAUUGUAUUUAUAUAUAUUUAUGAACUCAAUAUAUACACCUUAGAGGUUGUAAACCCCCAUUCCUUCAUUAUUCUAACAGAAAAGAGUGUGUGGAAAUUAUGUUCCUAUGUUGCUUCGUUUUCAAUGGCAUUCUAUUAUUUUUUUUAUUUUUUGCUUCUGGCAGCACUCCAUUCAGCCAUGCUUUUCAGUUAUUGUAAAUUUAGCUGGCAUAUUUGGAGUUAGCAACUUAAAAAUGCAAUAUAAAUGGUUAAUUUGUGGUAUAAAUAAAUAAAAAGAGUUAAAAACACCCAAGUACCGUUACCCUUACUAUGAUGAGAAUGGUCGCGGAAAGCUGCUCUAUGGCUACGGUGGCCCGGAUUUGUAUCAAUACA